UACGGAGGGAGCUAGCGUUAUUCGGAAUUACUGGGCGUAAAGCGGGUGUAGGUGGCUUUGUAAGUCAGGAGUGAAAUCCCCGAGCUUUAACUUGGGAAGUGCUUUUGAAACUGCAGAGCUUGAAUGUGGGAGAGGAUCGUGGAAUUCCAGGUGAUAGUGGUGAAAUACGUAAGAUAUCUGGAGGAACACCGGUGGCGAAGGCGGCGAUCUGGCCCAA
rnacentral:rRNA from 1 species